AGUUUAGCUUCCGAAACCUCGGGAGGCGGCGGCAGAAGAAGAAGAAGAAGAGAAAGAGAAAAAGAAAAGGAAAAAAAAUGGUCCAGAAUUCUCCUAAAUAGUACAACUUUGGCCUAAAGAGUAUAAAAUUCAUUUCAAAAUAGUAUAAUUUUUAUAUCAAAUAGUGCAAUUUUUAUUAAAACAGUACAAUUUUUUUAAAAACAGUGUAAUCUUAUUUUAACAGUACAAUUUCAUCAUCUUCUUUCCUCUUCUAUAUUUUUUUAUCUUUUCUGUAGAAAUUUUUUUUAUUAUUUAUUAUUAUUAUUUUUUUUCUAUAAUUUUUUUUUGUCACCACCUCUCCAUUGCUCUUUAUC
rnacentral:lncRNA from 1 species